GGAAUAUUGCACAAUGGGCGCAAGCCUGAUGCAGCCAUGCCGCGUGUAUGAAGAAGGCCUUCGGGUUGUAAAGUACUUUCAGUGGGGAGGAAGGCGAUGAAGUUAAUAGCUUCGUCGAUUGACGUUACCCGCAGAAGAAGCACCGGCUAACUCCGUGCCAGCAGCCGCGGUAAUACGGAGGGUGCAAGCGUUAAUCGGAAUUACUGGGCGUAAAGCGCACGCAGGCGGUCUGUCAAGUCGGAUGUGAAAUCCCCGGGCUCAACCUGGGAACUGCAUUCGAAACUGGCAGGCUAGAGUCUUGUAGAGGGGGGUAGAAUUCCAGGUGUAGCGGUGAAAUGCGUAGAGAUCUGGAGGAAUACCGGUGGCGAAGGCGGCCCCCUGGACAAAGACUGACGCUCAGGUGCGAAAGCGUGGGGAGCAAACAGGAUUAGAUACCCCAG
rnacentral:rRNA from 1 species